rnacentral:rRNA from 1 species
UAUGGGAUGGGGUCGCGUCCUAUCAGCUUGAUGGCGGGGUAACGGCCCACCAUGGCUUCGACGGGUAGCCGGCCUGAGAGGGCGACCGGCCACAUUGGGACUGAGAUACGGCCCAGACUCCUACGGGAGGCAGCAGUGGGGAAUAUUGCACAAUGGGCGCAAGCCUGAUGCAGCGACGCCGCGUGCGGGAUGACGGCCUUCGGGUUGUAAACCGCUUUUGACUGGGAGCAAGCCCUUCGGGGUGAGUGUACCUUUCGAAUAAGCACCGGCUAACUACGUGCCAGCAGCCGCGGUAAUACGUAGGGUGCAAGCGUUAUCCGGAAUUAUUGGGCGUAAAGGGCUCGUAGGCGGUUCGUCGCGUCCGGUGUGAAAGUCCAUCGCUUAACGGUGGAUCCGCGCCGGGUACGGGCGGG